GGUUCAGAACGUCGUGAGACAGUUCGGUCCCUAUCCGGCGCGGGCGUAGGAUAUUUGAGAGGAGCUGACCUUAGUACGAGAGGACCGGGUUGGACUGACCUCUGGUGUACCGGUUGCACUGCCAAGUGCAUGGCCGGGUAGCCAAGUCGGGAAGGGAUAAACGCUGAAGGCAUCUAAGCGUGAAGCCCCCCUCAAGAUAAGAUAUCCCAUAGCAUAAGCUAGUAAGACCCCUGAAAGACGAUCAGGUGGAUAGGUUAGAGGUGGAAGUGCAGUAAUGCAUGCAGCUGACUAAUACUAAUAGGUCGAGGGCUUGACCUA
rnacentral:ncRNA from 1 species